UACGGGGGGGAGCAAGCGUUGUUCGGAUUUACUGGGCGUAAAGGGCGCGUAGGCGGCGCAACAAGUCACUUGUGAAAUCUCCGGGCUUAACCCGGAGCGGUCAAGUGAUACUGUCGUGCUAGAGUGCGGAAGGGGCUACUGGAAUUCUCGGUGUAGCGGUGAAAUGCGUAGAUAUCAAGAGGGAAACACCUGCGGCGAAGGCGGGUUGCUGGGCCGACACUGACGCUGGAGGCGCGAAAGCUAGGGGAGCGAACGGGG
rnacentral:rRNA from 1 species